GUGAGCGUAGUUCAGUUGGUAGGAUAAUGCAUUAUUAUAUGUAGGGGUCAAGGUUCGAACCCCGGACACC
rnacentral:tRNA from 1 species